UGGGGAAUUUUGGACAAUGGGCGAAAGCCUGAUCCAGCAAUGCCGCGUGUGUGAAGAAGGCCUUCGGGUUGUAAAGCACUUUUGUCCGGAAAGAAAUCCUUGGCUCUAAUACAGUCGGGGGAUGACGGUACCGGAAGAAUAAGCACCGGCUAACUACGUGCCAGCAGCCGCGGUAAUACGUAGGGUGCAAGCGUUAAUCGGAAUUACUGGGCGUAAAGCGUGCGCAGGCGGUUUGCUAAGACCGAUGUGAAAUCCCCGGGCUCAACCUGGGAACUGCAUUGGUGACUGGCAGGCUAGAGUAUGGCAGAGGGGGGUAGAAUUCCACGUGUAGCAGUGAAAUGCGUAGAGAUGUGGAGGAAUACCGAUGGCGAAGGCAGCCCCCUGGGCCAAAUACUGACGCUCAUGCACGAAAAGCGUGGGGAGCAAAACAGGAUUAGAUACCCUGGUAGUCCACGCCCUAAAACGAUGUCAACUAGUUGUUGGGGGAUUCAUUUCCUUAGUAACGUAGCUAACGCGUGAAGUUGACCGCCUGGGGAGUACGGUCGCAAGAUUAAAACUUAAAUGAAUUGACGGGGUCAUAGCUG
rnacentral:rRNA from 1 species